rnacentral:sRNA from 1 species
UUAUAGCCCUGAUAGUAGUGAAAAUCCUUUUCAACUCUUGCAAAAAGAGUUGAAAAGAUUGUAACGGAUAGCAGGAAAAGCU